GUUCAAUGAGGUCGGAUGUCGCGGACGAAAUGUUCUUUACAAAAAUGUAAACGAGUCUCCUGAGUAAAACGCAAAAUUAAUUUCAGUUGGCCGUUAUUAAGCUGCUUUACAUAUGUACAUUACUAAAUACGCAGUACAUAAUGAGAAUGUAUCGUGUUUUCCUGCCCUCUCCAGCUCCCUCUAACUGUAACCCUCCCAGAAGCUCACGCACUCUGGAGUUUCGUCUAUUUCAGCAGCCUGGUUUAUAUUUCUUUGUGUUCACACUCUUCUUUCGCGCUGCCUGACUCCUAUUUACCGGACUCUGAGCGGUGCUCAUUAAGUGCGCAGUGUAGUGAGAACGGACGUCGCGAACGAGAAUUUUUUACAAAAGGUAAACGAGUUACACGAGC